rnacentral:lncRNA from 1 species
GGUUUAUUGGCCAGUAUUAAUUUUCUGUAGUUCGGUCCUUUUCUCAGAUUCUAUAAGUAAUACGUUAACUAUUUUGGUGUAUGGAAUGAUUGUAAGAUGUAUUUAUCUGUCUGCCAGGGUUCAUCAAACCUCCACCUCAUUAUCAUGGUAUAAUUGCCAAUGAAACAACUAUCCACCAAAUUUCAAAUGAAGAGGAUGUAAACAAUUUAAGGCAACCGUAUGGCCUUCGUCACAGAGCAAAAUCCAAAUCCUAAAGUCUGCCGUAAAAGGCCCAGACAUAAAAACCAAGCUAAUCGAGCAAACUAAGGGCUUAAUUUGUAACAAAACAAUCAUGUAAUAAAAACCAAUCUGACAGACAUGAACCAAUGACAACCACUGAACUACAUGCUCUUAACUUAGAACAGACACAUAAAGAAUGUGGCAGGGUCUGAACUGCCUACUGGACUUUAUUGUCAUACUAGUAAAUCAAUGAUAAUGUUAAGUUUAUGUGAUACUUAAGCUUUUAGUAAAAACUUUAUC